CUGGUAUUGUUUAUAAGAGCACUCAGUUCUGGCUUCUGAGAGGCUUCCAACAGCAUCUUCUUGACAAGAAGACCUAGCCACAGAGGAGAGAGAGGAGAGUGAGUUGUUCCCUUCCUCUUCACUCCUUCUCCUUAAACAUCUCACUGCCUCUGUGAAGUAGGUGUUAGUCACUGCCACCCACACCCAGAGUCACGGGUCCCACCGAGGAAGGUCAGCUGCUAUGACCAAGAGCACCUAACCAUGUUCCCCAGUCAGAAAUGUUUUUAAGAUGUGAAGAAAAAAUGACUUGAUUUCCUUCAGAUGCCUCCAAAUAGACCCCAACGUUUACAUCAGCCAAAAGCUAAAAUGUCACCAGGUGAUGGUGACACCUACUUCAGGAAUUUCCCAGUUUUGCUGUCCCCCAUCUUGCUCCCACCAGAAUAUCCGGUAAAUGUAUUUACUUGUGACUUUCUUCUUGUUUUGUGACUCUUAAGAGGCUGGCUUUGGAACAUGUCAUCCCAGGCUGCCUAAAGCCUGCCCAAGACAUGGUCACUUACUCAGCUCGGGAUAAAUAAACUCUAAGUCCUGCUGGAGAGAGAGCCGGGACUGCAUUGGUCAUUAUAACAUUUUACUUGCCAUUAGACUGAACCAAUAAAUCCAUUUUUCUUUUUGCAGAGGCCUUUUUAAAAGGAAUCUUCUGCAAGGGGCCCCUGAUCCUAAUGAGAGCCAGACAGCGAGCAUCAGUGCCUUGAGACUGGUUUGUCAGGUUCUCCCGUGAUGUGGUGAUUUCUCCAUCCUGCCUCCCCAGCACAAGGCACUGGGCCUCCUGCCAGGACCCUGCUUCCUUCUCAUCCUGCCUCACUCCCACCUGAAGAAUGGAACAGAGCUCCCCGAGAAAUGAGUUUCUGGGGCAGGCACCCCAAGCUGAUGGUCAGGGGAGCAGGGCUCUGACAGCCCUUCAUUCCCCCCAAACUUGGAAAUGGGGUCAGAGGGAGGGGCCUGCCACUGUCUCCCCUUGCUCUCUUUAUGCACCACUUCCUGCAGUUAGACUGAAGGAGCUGGGAGAGAUGGAGGAGCCCACUGCUACUUCUAAUUUCCUGCAAAAAAAAAAAUUAUACCCAGGGAGCUGGAGAGAUGGCUCAGUGGUUAAGAGCACCGACUGCUCUUCCAGAGGUCCUGAGUUCAAUUCCCAGCAACCACAUGGUGGCUCAUAACCAUCUGUAAUGGAAUCCGAUGCCCUCUUCUGGUGUGUCUGAAGACAGCUACAGUGUACUCAUAUACAAAAUAAAUAAAUAAAUCUUUA